UUUAAUUUAACUGUACAUAGGAUUAACUUUAAUGUCUUCAAGGGGAAAAUUGUAUUAGAUACACAGUACAGUAGUCUUAAGAGUGGGGCUGUGAAAGACAAGACUGUCAGAUACAGAGCCAGGGAAAGCCAGACAGGCUUUUUCCAGGACACCAAUAAAAAGGACCGACACUCCCAGCAGCAGGAAAUGGUGGGGGUGUUGGAAGGAUGUUGAUGCCAUCCAAUGGAUAUGGAUACAAGGGAAUUGGUAAGUUGUGUGAAGAGGUUGCUGUGGGCUGCUUGGUCUGUACAUUAUGUGCGUUAGGGUAAAUGUGUGAUAACUGGUAUGGUAGUCUGACCUAGGUCAAAUCAUUUCAAAUACUUUUAACAUUUUCCUGAGUCUGCCUGGAGUGCAGGGUGUACAAUUUUUGACAUUUUUAUUGGUGCAUUAAGCCAGACAAGCUCAAACCAAGUGUUAGAAACAAUUGUCAA
rnacentral:lncRNA from 13 species